rnacentral:rRNA from 1 species
GGGAAACUGCCUGAUGGAGGGGGAUAACUACUGGAAACGGUAGCUAAUACCGCAUGACCUCGCAAGAGCAAAGUGGGGGACCUUCGGGCCUCACGCCAUCGGAUGUGCCCAGAUGGGAUUAGCUAGUAGGUGAGGUAAUGGCUCACCUAGGCGACGAUCCCUAGCUGGUCUGAGAGGAUGACCAGCCACACUGGAACUGAGACACGGUCCAGACUCCUACGGGAGGCAGCAGUGGGGAAUAUUGCACGAUGGGCGCAAGCCUGAUGCAGCCAUGCCGCGUGUGUGAAGAAGGCCUUAGGGUUGUAAAGCACUUUCAGCGAGGAGGAAGGGUUCAGUGUUAAUAGCACUGUGCAUUGACGUUACUCGCAGAAGAAGCACCGGCUAACCCCGUGCCAGCAGCCGCGGUAAUACGGAGGGUGCAAGCGUUAAUCGGAAUUACUGGGCGUAAAGCGCACGCAGGCGGUUUGUUAAGUCAGAUGUGAAAUCCCCGAGCUUAACUUGGGAACUGCAUUUGAAACUGGCAAGCUAGAGUCUUGUAGAGGGGGGUAGAAUUCCAGGU